AGGGCCUGCAGGAGGUUCCCCAGCCCUUGCCGGAGCCCUGCUGCCCUUGGCUCCAGCACCUCCACGUCCUUGUAAAAGUAAGAGGUCCACAACUGAACACAGCACUUGAGGUGUGGCCUCACAAUAAGUAAUACAAAUUACACUUCUUUUUUACAAAGUUGCCGUCAUAUUGCAUGUGUUGACUGAAUUGCAAUAUAGUGAGAAACCCAAAUGCUGAUACACAUUUAAAUUUUCAAGCUGCUACCAUUUUACGUCACAAUAUAUGGGUGUUUUACACACUUAUCCCUGCAGAAAUUAUUCUGCCGUCUUGUUAUUUUGUUCAUUAUAUUUUAUUUAUUAAUUAAUUAUUAAUAAAUGUUUCUUCAUUUAUUUCAGAAGCCAUUGCAUGUCUUGAGGCAAACCUCCCUCUUUGGUGUUCUUUGGUGUUUACUUAUUAGUGAAUGUUUACUUAUUAAAUAUCAAUUAUAUCUAUUUAUUUACUUAUAUGCUAAUAUAAAUAGAAUAUAUAUUAUUUAUAAUAUAAUACAAAUAUUAUAAAUUAUAUUUAUUAAAUAUCAGCUGUUGGGGAGGGAAAUAAAGACAUAAAACAAUUGCUCUGGGUUUUGCUGGGAAAAAACUUUUCCAGUGGUUGUGCUUCCUUCUGAAGACAAUUAUUUUUGUUCCAUUCUGGCAAUAUUUUUGUCCUCCUUUGGCACAAGGAGCUCUAGAGGGUAGCAUUUGAAAAUACAACAGUAAAGAUGGUGAUGGUUGUUGAUUUGGCUGUGGUUUCAGUGCAGUGCCAGGUGCUACUGUAUACCCUGUGGAGGUGGCAGGAAAAGCUUUCUGGGGAGAAUCUUACAGAUUUCAUGUUCAAGUACAAGAGAGAAGUACAAGAAGUUCAAGUACAAGGCUGAGAACCAAAGGUCUGGAGCACAGGCUAGAUGUGGAGGCUACAGUUUGUGUACUUUAUCAGAAAGUGAUGUUUAGUCCUAUUUUAUUCCUGAUAUUCCAAGCACGAGUGUAUUUUCCUUUCUUUCUAAAGGAACUUAAAGUGAAUAUAGCCAGUAGCUUUACUCCUGACAGCACAGCACCUAAGAGCACUCUAGGGAUGCUGCACCUCACAGGAAUACCAAGUUCUUACACACUCAUUUGCAAUGAGAGGCUCAGCAAGGCAGAAGAAUGAAUGAGUUUUAGAAACAGCACAUCCAGCUGACUUCAUGUUUUGUCAUUGUGAUAUUUUACAGCCAAAGAUCCCAGGAAUAAUGGUCACGUGCAGCAGCAUCCCAGGUUUAAUGUGAACUCCUCAUACCGGGUUAUGAUGAGCCAGUUGGUUUCAUGGGAGAAAAUGGCAACACAAGGAGAUCCAAAUUUUAUGGCAAAGUGUUUUGACUAUGUUGGCAAGGAGCCCACAAGCAUUAACAACUGCAGGAGCUUUCAGAACUUCUCAGUGCCUUGGGUUUGGCAAGCUCAUUACCCACAAACUCGAUUAUUUACUUUCAUCCAUCUCAAGAGAACAAGAAAUGUAGUAAUAAAGAGUCUAAAAGACUGGAAUUACAAAGUGGAGGUCGUCAUUUAGUUACAGACCCAGCAUUAACCCAGUUACUUUGUAGACCUCAGACUUACAUAGAAAUCAUUUAUCUCUCAUCAGAGACAUGAUCAGCUCUGUUGAUUUUCUGUAGCCCAGCUGUAAUGCAGUCCAGUUUACAGUGAUUUCAGUGUGUGCAGCUAAUUAUUUUAGUUAAAAUGCUGGGGAAUCAAAUCUAAUUUUUUUCCCACAAAGCAGUGCCUGAUUAAAACAAACCCCAAACAUUAUAUAAGGUCUGUAAGAACAACCUGGGAGGUAAUUAUUUAAGGAAAAUCAUUUUAAGAACAGGUUGAAUCCUCUAAAAAACAUCUCUUUAGCUGCUGUAUUUCUGUGAAGCGAUUCAAGCACCAUCCAAAGAGGAGCAGUCAGACCAACCUGGCCCUUUCUGCAGUCUUGGUUUAGGGGCAAGAUGUAGCUGAAGCUAAGCAGGGUGAGCCCUCUGCAGCUGCCAAGAACAAACAGCCCAACCAAAACCCAGCUACUCGCUCAAACAUCCCUCUCAUUCUCUCUCUUUGGACCCUGCUUUACACCUCAUGAACAAAGACAACCUGUGUACAGGAUAAGAUUCCAAAACAAGCUCUGCCAACUUGGCUUUAAGGACAGCCACAAAAAAUUGAUUGCAAGGAGAGAAAUGAAAAUAAUAAGAAAAUUGAUAAUGGGUGUAAAGUGUUCUGGGAAAAGAGAACAUUGAAUGGCUCAGCCAUUCUGCAGGUACUCCCAUUUAUAUCUUAUCAGAAGGAAAAACAAGACCCCAAACAAACCAAUAAAAUGUCUUGUAAUUGUACUAAAGGCCAUUCAAAAGUAGUUAAAAAUGCUAAUGAGUAAAGUUGACUGUGUGUCCCAUGUGGACAUCCAGGUCGUGUGCCAAGGGAAUUUGUCAGAAAGCUUUGAGCUCCACUCUAAAACACUGCAGGCAAACAAAUAUCUCCUCUGAUUUCACUGUACAACAGCAGCUUGGUUUUAAACUCUGGAAUAAUCCUAAGCCAAUAGGUAUUGGAUGCUUAGUUGCCUUUGCUUGAUUUUGUACAAGACUGUUGAUCUUAUUUCCUUUCAUUCUCAAAGGAGCUACAAAAUGUCCAGAUGUUGAAUCUAAAGUGAAGCAAAACAAGUCCCCAUAAAUCCCCUUCAAAAGAACAAAUGUUGCCAAUGGUGACUGAAACCCUAAUUACUACUACUGAUUAUUUUAGCAUAAAGAUGUGUAUAAGGUACAGUGUUCCCAGUCCUGAAGCAGCUCUUUCAUCUUCCACAAUUACAAAAUACAGAGGUUCCUCACUCACUCAAAUUCAUUUUAAUUGAGCUGGAAGCACAGGAGUACAACAGCACAUUUGGCUGAAUGAGGCAUCACAUGUGAACUGUGCUGUGUGUCCAUAAGGACACUGGUUUAGUGUUCUGUCACCUCAACAGCUGCAUCUUCUAUGUGCCACACGCUGCUCUCUGUGAUUCUGGGGUAAAUGCUGUUAAAGCACGAACAGAUGAUUUUCCCAGCCCAAGCCCAAGGUAGCAAAGGUUACAAGCAGGAGUUUAUAGCUACAGGCUUAUACUGCACAAGAUGACAACGUUGGUGUAUGGCCCAGGACAGUCUGUUGUCUGGAAACCCAGCUGGUGCCACAAGGCAUGUUGAAGAAGGUGAAUGCUGGCCAACAUUCUGCAUGUGAGAGCAAGGACCCCAAGGACUAAAAUCAACAAAUGGCAAGUGGGGGAGUUUUACUGCAGGAGAGGAGAGAAUUAGGGAGAAUUCACCAGCAGAGUCAGGCAGGAGAUUAGUUUUCAUUUGGUUUAGCUUCAAGUCAAAUGUGCUUCUAAAUCAUCACAGAGAGGGAUGAAUGCAGUUGUGAUUGUGGGUUUGGGAGACAGAGGAAGAGGGAGAAGAUUGGCAGUAAGAUUGCCCUUGCUGUCUUUGCUUUCCAAAAGCAGAGAUGAAUACUGAGCUGUGCAGGCUCAGCCGAUGUAGAGCAGCCUGGAGAAGACAAGCCUCAAACACAGGAUGGGACAAAGGCCACAGAAAGCUGCUUCAGCCUGUCACCUCUGAACUGGACGCUCCUGCUUAAAAUAUCCCAAACAAUUCUGCAGUCUCUCCCCUUCCUCCACUUACCGAGCUCCAGACUCGACCAUACUACAGCUGUAAUAAAACAAAUUAACAAACCAACAACAAGUUUGAAUCACUUUCUUGCAUCCAUUUUUGUUUCUCUCAAAUUGCCAGUUACUUUUGCAUUUUGAACACCCCAUCCCCUGCCCCCCUCCCAUAAAAUGCAGCCUUUAGUUAUAGGGUAAUUUCAUCCUAUAGCUUCUU